rfam:Pan troglodytes isolate Yerkes chimp pedigree #C0471 (Clint) chromosome 10, whole genome shotgun sequence.
GCUGGGCAUGGUGGUGCAUGCCUGUAAUCCCAGCUACUUGGGAGGCUGAGGCAGGAGAAUCACUUGAACCCAGGAGGUGGAGGUUUCGGUGAGCUGAGAUCUCUCCACUGCACUCCAGCCUGGGUGACAGAGGGAGACUCUGUCUCAA